rnacentral:rRNA from 1 species
AGCAGCCGCGGUAAUUCCAGCUCCAAUAGCGUAUAUUAAAGUUGUUGCAGUUAAAAAGCUCGUAGUUGAAUUUCGGGGUCAGCAAGUUGGUCGUGCCACCGGUAUGCACUGGCUUUGCUGAUUCCUCCUUCUUGUAGAACCGUAAUGCCAUUAAGUUGGUGUUGCGGGGAAACAGGACUGUUACUUUGAAAAAAUUAGAGUGUUUAAAGUAGGCUAACGCUUGAAUACAUUAGCAUGGAAUAAUGAAAUAGGACGACGAUCCUAUUUUGUUGGUUUCUAGGAUUGACGUAAUGAUUAAUAGGGAUAGUUGGGGGCAUUAGUAUUCAAUUGUCAGAGGUGAAAUUCUUGGAUUUAUUGAAGACUGACUACUGCGAAAGCAUUUGCCAAGGAUGUUUUCAUUAAUCAAGAACGAAAGUUAGGGGAUCGAAGACGAUCAGAUACCGUCGUAGUCUUAACCAUAAACUAUGCCGACUAGGGAUCGGAUGAUGUUAAUUUUUUAAUGACUCAUUCGGCGCCUUACGGAAAACCG